UACCAGCACCCCGAGUGGUCGGAACGAUUAUUGGGCCUAAAGCAUCCGUAGCCGGUCAUGCAAGUCUUCCGUUAAAUCCAGCCGCUCAACGGUUGGGCUGCGGAGGAUACUACGUGGCUAGGAGGCGGGAGAGGCAAGCGGUACUCAGUGGGUAGGGGUAAAAUCCUUUGAUCCAUUGAAGACCACCAGUGGCGAAGGCGGCUUGCCAGAACGCGCUCGACGGUGAGGGAUGAAAGCUGGGGGAGCAAACCGG
rnacentral:rRNA from 1 species